UACGUAGGGGGCAAGCGUUGUCCGGAAUCAUUGGGCGUAAAGCGCGUGUAGGCGGCUCGGUAAGUCCGCUCUGAAAGUCCAGGGCUCAACCCUGGGAUGCGGGUGGAUACUGCCGAGCUCGAGUCCGGAAGAGGCGAGUGGAAUUCCCGGUGUAGCAGUGAAAUGCGUAGAGAUCGGGAGGAACACCAGUGGCGAAGGCGACUACCUGGACCAGCACUGACACUGAGGCACGAAAGCGUGGGGAGCAAACAGG
rnacentral:rRNA from 1 species